AGAGUUUGAUCAUGGCUCAGGACGAACGCUGGCGGCGUGCUUAACACAUGCAAGUCGAACGAGAAUCUGCGGAAAGAGGAUUCGUCCAAUUGAAGCAGAGGACAGUGGCGGACGGGUGAGUAACGCGUGAGGAACCUGCCUUUCAGAGGGGGACAACAGUUGGAAACGACUGCUAAUACCGCAUGACACAUCGGAGUCGCAUGGCUCUGAUGCCAAAGAUUUAUCGCUGAAAGAUGGCCUCGCGUCUGAUUAGCUAGUUGGUGAGGUAACGGCCCACCAAGGCGACGAUCAGUAGCCGGACUGAGAGGUUGAACGGCCACAUUGGGACUGAGAUACGGCCCAGACUCCUACGGGAGGCAGCAGUGGGGAAUAUUGGGCAAUGGGCGCAAGCCUGACCCAGCAACGCCGCGUGAAGGAAGAAGGCUUUCGGGUUGUAAACUUCUUUUGUCAGGGACGAGUAGAAGACGGUACCUGACGAAUAAGCCACGGCUAACUACGUGCCAGCAGCCGCGGUAAUACGUAAGUGGCAAGCGUUGUCCGGAUUUACUGGGUGUAAAGGGCGUGUAGCCGGGAGGGCAAGUCAGAUGUGAAAUCCACGGGCUCAACUCGUGAACUGCAUUUGAAACUACUCUUCUUGAGUAUCGGAGAGGCAAUCGGAAUUCCUAGUGUAGCGGUGAAAUGCGUAGAUAUUAGGAGGAACACCAGUGGCGAAGGCGGAUUGCUGGACGACAACUGACGGUGAGGCGCGAAAGCGUGGGGAGCAAACAGGAUUAGAUACCCUGGUAGUCCACGCUGUAAACGAUGAAUACUAGGUGUGCGGGGACUGACCCCCUGCGUGCCGCAGCUAACGCAAUAAGUAUUCCACCUGGGGAGUACGAUCGCAAGGUUGAAACUCAAAGGAAUUGACGGGGGCCCGCACAAGCGGUGGAUUAUGUGGUUUAAUUCGAAGCAACGCGAAGAACCUUACCAGGGCUUGACAUCCUACUAACGAAGUAGAGAUACAUCAGGUGCCCUUCGGGGAAAGUAGAGACAGGUGGUGCAUGGUUGUCGUCAGCUCGUGCCGUGAGAUGUUGGGUUAAGUCCCGCAACGAGCGCAACCCUUAUCUUUAGUAGCCAGCGGUUCGGCCGGGCACUCUAGAGAGACUGCCAGGGAUAACCUGGAGGAAGGCGGGGAUGACGUCAAAUCAUCAUGCCCCUUAUGACUUGGGCUACACACGUGCUACAAUGGCGUAAACAAAGGGAAGCAAAGCUGUGAAGCCGAGCAAAUCUCAAAAAUAACGUCUCAGUUCGGACUGUAGUCUGCAACCCGACUACACGAAGCUGGAAUCGCUAGUAAUCGCAGAUCAGAAUGCUGCGGUGAAUACGUUCCCGGGUCUUGUACACACCGCCCGUCACACCAUGGGAGUUGGGAAUGCCCGAAGCCAGUAACCUAACCGAAAGGAAGGAGCUGUCGAAGGCAGGCUCGAUAACUGGGGUGAAGUCGUAACAAGGUA
rnacentral:rRNA from 1 species